UGAAUGUAUUGCUCACAGCAAUCAAUUGUACUGGUUGAAUAAAUUCUUUAUUUCAGAUCUAGCUUUGAUGAAUGGCUCUGCCUAAUGCACAGAAGAGUCAAAAGCAAUAUACUGGAUCUUGAAGCCAUAUUCUGUCCUCUGAGGUGCUACAGUGACUUCAUCCCAUCGAAUCUACAUAUGGAAGAGGAAAAAGUAGCCAGUAGUCUGCCCAUAGCAGCGUGGUCCUAUUGAAAGAAAAGGUCAUUUGUGUUGGUGUGCACUUUGGGGUAAGACAAGCACCCGUGGAAGUUAUGAAGAUGAGUUACUUUCUUUCAUCUCAUUUUUAAUUUAUCUUUUCAGGAAAGAGUUCUAUAUCUUGUAAAGUGCUACUCUGCCAGUAGCUCUGCAGCAAGCUUCAUCACUUCAGAUUGCAUCUGAGACCAUGGACCACUCCAUAUCUUGCAGGCUGUUAUGUGAAUCUGUGACAUUCACUUAGAAACAGGAGCAAAAUCUUCAACAAAGGAAGAAGUGUCCUGUCAGCAGUCAAACUCCUCACAUAAGUUAUGAAGAUGACUCCCAUAUGCUUUCAUGUUGAGCUUUGUGGAGGUAGCAUUUCCAGGACAGACUCUGCAACCAGAGGAUUCAAAACUGAUUUCAUUUAUUAAGGCUGAAAAUAAAUCAGUGAAGUCCUUGGGUAAGAACAUGCAGUUCUGAUUGCUGGUGCUUCAUGUAAAAUGUCAAAUUCUACUACUCACAGCAAAAUUGCUCUUUUUUUCCAUGCUUAUUUUGAGCCUGUAUGUGGUGAGCUGCCUGCAUGUUGUCCCUCAGCACGUGGUGUGACUCCAGCCUGUGUCCACAACAGCGGGUGUCCCCUGGAAGGGAGGAAAAGAGGGAAUUACAUAUGGUAAAACAGCCCUACCUGGGAGAGGGACUAGAGAAAUGCUAAUUAUUCUGCCUGUCCUGGAAACGAUGGGAAGUCUGGUCCCUGUUGAAAACCUUUGCUGUAAACUCUGCUUUAGCACCAGCCAAAUCUCUGCUUGUAUUGAAAAAUCCUUCUGAUUUGCUGUCCUGCAGGGCUGACAUGCUUACUGUAACAAAACAAAUCUGUGCUGCACUGUGUGUUUGUCCCCAAGUAAUAGUGGGGGGAGAGGGGAGAACCAAAGAGGCUGAGUCAUUUGUCUUCUUUCCCUGUCUUGGUAAUGAAAUAUUGCUGUUAAACUCUGCCCUGCCUUUCCUGUUACUAAUUUAUUUUUUUUUUCUUUUUUCCAAUGGUUACCUUUUAAAAGGUUUGUAAAAUUGCAUUACUGAAAUUUAUGACUGUGUAGCAAUAUGUGCCCAUGCAUUAAUUCUCUUCAAGGCCAACGUCUUGUAGCUGCAAAAUUAAUGUUAUGGCGCAGCUUCUCGCAUGGCUAAUGGCUGUUCAAUAAUGUAGGGCUCACAUUUUGCUCAGCUUAUGGCACUUAAUUCCUUGAAAUAAUUCUGCCUGGAAGAGUUUGCCAGGUAAUGGUUAAAAAAAGGCACGUGCAGAACACGCGGAUAUGUAUUUUAAUGCAUUUUUGUUUAUGCAAUUAGAGGCUUGAAAAUCUUGGCCUUGUGAAUUGGUUCAGUUGGCUUUCAACUUCUUUGAAUGGCAUUUAGUUGAAAGGUUCAAAACCAGAUGUGUCUGAAUGCAGUGGACUAAAAAUGUGCCCCUUAAUCAUGACUGGUCUGGAGAGGCUGAAUUUGAUGUUGGUGUUACCCUGGGAGUUACACCCUGUGCUCUUUGGAAUGAGUGAACAAUAGCAGUUCAGUAAAUUAUGAAUUAAUUGAUGUUAUCUAUGUUUAGAUUUACAUUUUCUUACUAAGCAAAAAGAAAAAAGCCACUUUCUACUAGAAGGGUGGAUUAGUAUUUGUAGCCUCUUUACCAACUGAAAUGUGAUAUUCCAGGUUAAAGACAGAUAUAACAAUGCAAAGCAGAUAACCUGACGAGGGUUUGCUUGUAUUCUGGUUGAAAAGAAGAGGUUGGAGGAAUAUUUUGAAAGUGCCGAGACAGGAAUUUAGAUGGUGUCUGACAGUGCUUGUUUUCUUCUUCAAAGCUUUGUCUGACAGCCAGAAGAAAACUCAGUGCUUAUGAUCUACCUUGUACUAUAGACUUGUGUCUGGGAUAUCGUACAUGCAAGAUCAUUGUUCUUAAAGGUAAAACCUUGGGACUCAAAAGGAAUGUAUGAAGUGUUGAGCAGCUGAGAUGUAGUGGAGCUCGAGGGCAGGGGAAUGCCUGGUGAUUAAGUCCAAGUUACACUAUGCAUGAGCCCACUGGUCUCACAGGGUGGCCUCCAACCACACCAGACCCUGGCUUUACAUCAAGUGAUCUCUUGUCAAAGUGCUCAGUGACAGCAGCCUGCAAAGAUGUGGUAGAGAGCAAAAAUAUCCCUGUAUGUAUGGGAGCACCUUUUGUCUCAGGCUUUUGGGGGAACAGUGACAUCUUUUCCUCUCUGCUGGAAGACAUGAGCUGACAAAAGUAAGGCAUCCCUGGGAUGGAGAAACCAGAGCAGGAGGAAAGAUAAUCUCAUGUGAAAGCUCUCAAGGCAUUACUGUAUGUCUUCUGUGUUUUGGAACCAGUCACUUGAUCUCUGCAGGCUUUAGUUUCAUGCCAGUUAUUCACUGUGUCUCCAGGCUUUUUCCUGGAACAGAGCUUUCCCCUUGCUGUGUGGUUGUGAGGUGCUGAGGAAAAGACAUGGGCUGAGACAUCUUACAAGCAUUGUCUUGAUAUUUAUAAUGGCAUUACCAGUAUCAUAAGCAGUUACAGCCAGAUCAGUCAUCAAAUUUGAAUCUCUGUUGGUAAUCAGUGACACAACACCUGGGAGGUAUUUGGCUUAGUCUGUGUAAGAGUUUUGGUAUUAUUGCAGUAAUGAAUGUCACCAGAAAAGCUUUUUGGGGAGUAUAGGAGGAAAGAGAAAAGCAGGGAAAGCAUGAUGCUGUGCUGGGAUCGCAGCAUGGGGAGAGCAGGAUUAGUGCUGCAGGAGAUGGGCAGACAGCGAGCAUCUGCUGUGGGCCACCAGGAUCAGAGCACAGCAGGAAUGAGAAUUCUUGGACCAGUUAUCAAGGAAUUGGGAAACUCCAGGAUACUGUACUCAUGGGGGAUUUUUACUACCCAGACAUCUGCUGGGUAACAAAUGCAGCUCAUCAUGGCGAUAAUGUACAGCCCUAAUUCACUAUAAAUCCUCUCCCAUAUGUUUAGAAUUGUAUUUACAGUAGGAAGAGAAGGAUAGUUAUUCAUGAAUAAAGGUGAACUCAGUUGCUGGUGCAGAGUCAGUCAUAUACUGUGGAAAAUAAUGUACGACAGACUUGAACAGAAUCCCUCUGAAAGCAUGGCUGUAUUUUAGGUAUUUUCAAGUGUUGCUGCAGUUACUGAUUGCUUUUAAAUGCACCGAUUGAACUCCUUAUAUCUCCGUAACUUUUGCUGGCCUAGAAGCAUGAGUUCAGAAGUGGAGCUAAUGAAGAAUUUUCCUCAGGAUGAAAUAUGCCUCCUUGAAACCAAUUCUGCUGAUGAGGAGGUUGAAAAGGUUUAAGACAAAAACUAAGAAAGGAACCAUAAGGGCUGCUUAACUCCCCGGUAGCACAUGAAAGUAUGUUGUUUUAUUGAUAUACUUCUCUGGCCUUUCUUCAGUUGCGGCAAUAAUUUUGCCAUCUAACUCACCGUGGACCUAGAAGAUCACUGUGACCUUAAAUAUAUCUAAUAUUGAGGCAAGAAGGAGAUGUCCCAGCCACCAGAGUUCAGGGCUAAGCACAGUUACUUAUGAAUUAUGGUGCCUUUUCCUGCCGUUCAGCAGUUCCCUGCUCCCUGGCUGUGCUUGGCCCUGUGCUGCCUCAUUGUCAGCAUGAGUUUGUUUCAGUAAGGAUGCUCUAUACUGAGCUCUGGCUUCGGCCACUCAGUGCCCGGGGAUUUGCAUAAUGUCAUUACUGCUUAUUCUUCAAUUACAAUCUUUGAAUAUGCAAAUCUGUCAAUGCUGGUUACUGUAAUCCCUCUGCCCUGGCUGGUCCCCAGCUGGGGAAGUAUUUGAGCUGUUUGCUGGCAACAAGGGUUUUCGUGUUGGUUUCCCAUUUCCAGCUGUGGGUGAAGGGGAAAACCCCUUGAUCAGCUGCCUGAAACAGAUGGAGAGCAAAAAGCAAAGAGAAACUCUGUGAAAUUCAGAAAAAAGAAAUGUCCUUUUUUAAAAGAA